rnacentral:rRNA from 1 species
GACGAACGCUGGCGGCGUGCUUAACACAUGCAAGUCGAACGCUGAAGACCUGGCUUUUGUUGGGUUGGAUGAGUGGCGAACGGGUGAGUAACACGUGAGUAACCUGCCCUCUUCUUUGGGAUAACGCCCGGAAACGGGUGCUAAUACUGGAUAUUCACUGGCCUUCGCAUGGGGGUUGGUGGAAAGGUUUGUUCUGGUGGGGGAUGGGCUCGCGGCCUAUCAGCUUGUUGGUGGGGUGAUGGCCUACCAAGGCUUUGACGGGUAGCCGGCCUGAGAGGGUGACCGGUCACAUUGGGACUGAGCUACGGCCCAGACUGCUACGGGAGGCAGCAGUGGGGAAUAUUGCACAAUGGGCGAAAGCCUGAUGCAGCGACGCCGCGUGAGGGAUGGAGGCCUUCGGGUUGUAAACCUCUUUCGCUCAUGGUCAAGCCGCAACUGUGGGUUGUGGUGAGGGUAGUGGGUAAAGAAGCGCCGGCUAACUACGUG